UACGUAGGGGGCAAGCGUUGUCCGGAUUUAUUGGGCGUAAAGAGCGUGUAGGCGGCCAUACAGGUCAGCUGUGAAAACUCGAGGCUCAACCUCGAGACGUCGGUUGAAAGCGUAUGGCUAGAGUCCGGAAGAGGAGAGUGGAAUUCCCGGUGUAGCGGUGAAAUGCGCAGAUAUCGGGAAGAACACCCGUGGGGAAGGCGGCUCUCUGGGACGGUACUGACGCUGAGACGCGAAAGCGUGGGGAGCGAACAGG
rnacentral:rRNA from 1 species